rnacentral:rRNA from 1 species
UGAAGAACGUAGCGAAAUGCUAUACUUGGUGUGAAUUGCAGAAUCCCGCGAACCAUCGAGUCUUUGAACGCAAGUUGCGCCCGAGGCCCCCCGGCCGAGGGCACGCCUGCCUGGGCGUCACGCCUUGCGUCGCUUCGCGCGCCGGCCCGACCCGGCGCUGCGGACGCGGACACUGGCCCUCC